GAUUUCUGGUUCGGCGCACUUGGCCCGUCUCGGUUUACGGGAUCGCGUGCCGGUGUGCGCCAUCCAUCCUUCGGGAAAUACACAGCUACCCUUCAUUGGGCGGUUGUGCUAUCCCGAUCUUUUACUUUGAAAAAUUAGAGUGUUUAAAGCAGGCUUGCGCUAUGAAUACAUUAGCAUGGAAUAAUAAUCUAGGACUUUCGGUUCUAUUUUGUUGGUUUCUAGGACUGAAGUAAUGAUUGAUAGGGAUAGUUGGGGGUGCUAGUAUUCAGCGGCCAGAGGUGAAAUUCUCGGAUUCGCUGAAGACUAACUUAUGCGAAAGCAUU
rnacentral:rRNA from 1 species